rnacentral:misc_RNA from 1 species
GAUGAAGAACGUAGCGAAAUGCGAUAAGUAAUGUGAAUUGCAGAAUUCAGUGAAUCAUCGAAUCUUUGAACGCACCUUGCACCCUUUGGCAUUCCGAAGGGUAUGCUCGUUUGAGUGUCAUUGUACUCUCACACUUCCAAUUCUUUGGAUUGGGAGCGGUGGACUUGGGUGCUGCUGCUUACCGUGGCUCACCUCAAAUGUGUUAGUGCAACCGUUGGUUAGACAUAGUACAGCGUGAUAAGUAUCUUCGCUGGCGCCUCACUCGAGGGUGGCUGAUCAGGGCUCUGUACUCCCAAUCGUCUUCGGACAAUCACUGACAACUUGGCCUCAAAUCGAGUAGGACUACCCGCUGAACUUAAGCAUAUCAAUAAGCGGAGGA